rnacentral:sRNA from 1 species
GGUUUGGCGCACUUGGGGCUGCUGGGCGGCUGGCUGACUCGGGCCUCUAUGACACUAUUGGUAGCGGGGAGAGAAGGGAGAAGCUGGAGUUAGAUUUCAGGGUGUUAAGAAGAAGGAUAAGUGGAUUUGCUGCAUCUCCAUCCUGGCAUCAUUUCUGAUGUCCGUAAAUGCUAAAGGCCUAUUAGGCCCCAUAGAACCAGGUAUCUCAUCGCCCAGAGGCCACAUCUCACAGCCAGCAUGGGCAUCAGGGCCUAGGGUCAUGUCCCUGGCUCUGUUGUGGGGCUCUUUUGCAGUCUCCCUUGCAUAAUCUCCUGUUCCCUUUUGCAUGGGCAUGAUGCCUGGUUUGUUUCCUGUCUCAGCCGUGAGGAGGAAGACAUAACAGUGUUGGUGACUCCAGAGAAACCACUUCGACGGGGCCUCUCCCACCGAAGUGACCCAAAUGCAGUGGCACCUGCCCCCCAGGGUGUGAGGCUCAGCCUAGGCCCCCUCAGUCCAGAGAAGCUGGAGGAGAUCCUCGAUGAGGCCAACCGGCUGGCCGCUCAGCUGGAGCAGUGUGCCCUGCAGGAUCGGGAGAGCGCAGGCGAGGGCCUGGGGCCUCGCCGAGUGAAGCCCAGUCCUCGGCGGGAGACCUUUGUGCUGAAGGAUAGUCCUGUCCGAGACCUGCUGCCCACUGUGAACUCUUUGACGCGGAGCACCCCCUCCCCAAGCAGCCUGACGCCUCGACUCCGGAGUAAUGAUAGGAAGGGGUCAGUCAGGGCUCUCCGGGCUACAUCUGGAAAGAGGCCCUCCAACAUGAAGAGGGAGUCACCCACUUGCAAUCUGUUCCCUGCAUCCAAAAGCCCAGCAUCUUCUCCUCUUACCCGAUCGAAUCCCCCAGUCCGGGGGAGAGCUGGGCCCAGUGGGAGAGCAGCAGCCAGCCCACCCACCCCCAUCAGAUCCGUCCUGGCCCCACAGCCUUCUACCAGCAACUCUCAACGCCUGCCCCGGCCGCAGGGAGCAGCUGCUAAAUCUUCCAGUCAACUGCCCAUUCCCUCAGCCAUCCCCAGGCCUGCCAGCCGAAUGCCACUCACCAGCCGGAGUGUGCCACCUGGCAGAGGUGCCCUACCUCCGGAUUCUCUGUCAACUCGAAAAGGGCUUCCAAGACCAAGCACUGCAGGACCCAGAGUGCGGGAAAGUGGACACAAGGUUCCUGUUUCCCAGCGACUAAAUCUUCCUGUCAUGGGUGCCACUCGCAGCAAUCUGCAGCCCCCCAGGAAAGUGGCAGUCCCAGGACCUACCAGGUAAAGAGAUCAGGACAGCAAGCAAGACUUCAGUAGCAAACCACUACAGUCAGUACCUGGACUCGCCUCUACCCAGCAGACCCUGACUCCAGCAGAUUCUGGCCCAGGGACAGGAGGAAGAGAUGCCACCAGGGCUGGUCUCCCAGGAGUAGAGACCAUGGGAAAUGGGGUGGAUUAGGAUUGAGCUGGAGAAGACUUAAACUCUCUGGGUUGAAAGAAGAUUAGGGGAAAAGAGGUCACCUUCCAGCAGUGAAAUGAACAAAUAGAAGAUGAGAAGUACAGGCAAGUGGUUUGUCUUUAUCCACCCCCACUGUUGUGGUCAGCCCCAGAGAAUUUUAUCUUCUUCCUUGGCAUUGGUUCACUGGACAUUUCCAUGUGAGCGGCCUCCGUAGCUAACCUCCCUGCCCUCUGAGGAGCCAUCUUCCUGAAUCGCAUUCUCUACUGGACUCUGGCCUGCUUGGAGAGGUGGCAGCAGGCACCUGGUCUUCAGAAAUUGUUUCCUGUGAAUUCUGUGACUCCUAAUAGGCCAGUUUGUGAUAAGCUUACUCUAUGAGUCUUCAUUUUUCUAAAAUAAAGUGAAUGUAUUUUUA